rnacentral:rRNA from 1 species
UGACCUCUGACCUCAAAUCAGGUAGGACUACCCGCUGAACUUAAGCAUAUCAAUAG